rnacentral:rRNA from 1 species
GGGGCACAGCGGUUUAUCUGUCUACACACCGGCUCAGUGGGGCUAAGGGUUCGUAUCCGGAGAGGGAGCCUGAGAAAGGACUACCACAUCCAAGGAAGGCAGCAGGCGCGCAAAUUACCCAAUCCCAACACGGGGAGGUAGUGACAAUAUGUAACAAUAUACGGCCUUAUACGUCGUAUAAUUGGAAUGAGUACAAUUUAAAUCCCUUAACGAGGAACAAUUGGAGGGCAAGUCUGGUGCCAGCAGCCGCGGUAAUUCCAGCUCCAAUAGCGUAUAUUAAAGUUGUUGCAGUUAAAAAGCUCGUAGUUGGACCUUGGACCUGGACAGGCGGUCCGCCUCACGGCGAGUACUGUCUUGCUGGGUCUUUCCUCUUGGUGAUCUGUUGUUUCGGCAGCAGGGAACCAGGACCUUUACUUUGAAAAAAUUAGAGUGUUCAAAGCAGGCUCGACGCCGGAAUAUAUUAGCAUGGAAUAAUAAAAUAGGACGUGCGGUUCUAUUUUGUUGGUUUUUGGAAUCGCCGUAAUGAUUAAUAGGGACAGUCGGGGGCAUUAGUGCUCACAAUGCUAGAGGUGAAAUUCUUUGGAUUUUUGUGAAAGACCAACUUCUGCGAAAAGCAUUUUGCCCAAGGAUGUUUUUCAUUUAGGUCUAGGAAACGAUAGGGUGCGGGGUGGCCCGAACACCCACUUGGGAUAUGCGUUUGGUAGUUCUUAAAAGGUGCACCUUUUUGCGCGAACCAUGAGAGCUCAGAUCGAGCGCUUUUUCCUCUUUUUGAAACCCCACUGGGUGAGCCCCCCUCUGGGGGGAACCACAACAGGUGAUGUGUUGGGAUAAAAACAAAAG